UUCAAUUUCGUACCUAGAGAAAGAUACGGAAAUAAUUUUAACCGAAUAUUAUAAUAAUUAAGUAUUUUUUCCACAUCUCUUUUGAUUGCUACCCAUCAAGAUUCUGGAAGACAAAAGAAAAGUACCCAAUUAUCAGGUAUCAUGAGCUCACAGUGGACAACAAACUUCCAAACAGAACAUGUUCCCAGAAGUGGCAAGUAUCUCCACUGCAAUGGAUGUAAAGAGCGUCGAAAACAAGCGUCGGCGUCGGCAGUGAGUGGUGACACAUCGUCGCGUGAUUCACAGGCAGCGAACUGCGCAUACACAAGAAUCCGUGACGUCAACCCGCGUCCGGUACUUAUAAUCGGUACCUAUAGACAUUAUAUCGAUUAUGAAAUGGUACUGAAGAUUCGAGAUUAUUUGUAAUAAAUACAUGAGUAUUA